rnacentral:snoRNA from 1 species
AAGACCAUAGUUUCAAGGAUCAUUUCUAUAGUUGGUUACUAGAGAAGUUUCUCUGAAGGUGUAGGGCAUAGGAAGCCACAAGGAGGAGGCACAGCAUUCUGUGCUGAGCUUAAAGCCCUGUCCAGGUGUUGCUUUCUUGCAAAUGUCUACUGCCAUGGAUGAUCUUUCUUCUCUCCCAUUUUGGGGGAGUGAGAGGAAGAGAACACAUUCUGAGUGGA